CAGAUGCAGCCGCGGUAAUUCAGAGGAGCCAAGCGUUGUCCGGAUUGACUGGGCGUAAAGCGCACGCAGGCGGUCGUGCGCGUGGGGUGUGAAAUCUGGCCGCUUAACGGCCAGGCGCCAUCCCAUACGGCACGACUGGAGGGAUGCAGAGGUCGAUGGAAUUGCCGGUGUAGUGGUGAAAUGCGUAGAGAUCGGCAGGAACACCCAGGGGGAAACCAGUCGACUGGGCAUCUACUGACGCUGAGGUGCGAGAGCGUGGGGAGCGAACCGGAUUAGAUACCCGGGUAGUCCACGCCGUAAACGAUGGCCACUCGGCCUUUGGUGGCGGAAUCUCCGUCGCUGGGGGCCUUAGCUAACGCGGGAAGUGGCCCGCCUGGGAACUACGAGCGCAAGCUUAAAACUCAAAUGAAUUGACGG
rnacentral:rRNA from 1 species